GAGAGGGAACCGUGUUAAUUGGUUGACUACGUAAGAAUAAAUAUAACGACGGAUCCUCCGGGCUGCUUGAUUCCCCAAACAUGUUAGACGUGUAAUGGUCAGAAUAAUAUAUAAUUGUUUGAUUUGCUAAACGUGUAGGAUAUGAUUUUGUGAUAUUUAUGAAAUAUACAAAAGGACUUCUAUAUAUAUAUAUUAAUAAUAUGUAUGAUAUACCAAUAACGUACAGAGCUUUUACAAAAGAACUUCUAUAUAUUAAUAAUAUGUAUGAUAUACCAAUAACAGAGCUUUAUUUUACAAAAGAACUUCUAUAUAUUAAUAAUAUGUAUGAUAUACCAAUAACAGAGCUUUAUA
rnacentral:lncRNA from 1 species